UACGGGGGGAGCAAGCGUUGUUCGGAUUUACUGGGCGUAAAGGGCGCGUAGGUGGGUGACCAAGUCGGAAGUGAAAUCUCGAGGCUCAACCUCGAGGCCUGCUCCCGAAACUGGUCGCCUAGGGACUGGUAGAGGCUGGUAGAAUUCCCGGUGUAGCGGUGGAAUGCGUAGAGAUCGGGAAGAAUACCUGUGGCGAAGGCGGCCAGCUGGGCCAGAUCCGACACUGAGGCGCGAAAGCGUGGGGAGCAAACAGG
rnacentral:rRNA from 1 species